UACAAGAGAUUUUCAAAAGAUUU
rnacentral:snRNA from 1 species